rnacentral:rRNA from 1 species
UGGGGAAUAUUGCACAAUGGGCGCAAGCCUGAUGCAGCCAUGCCGCGUGUAUGAAGAAGGCCUUCGGGUUGUAAAGUACUUUCAGCGGGGAGGAAGGGAGUAAAGUUAAUACCUUUGCUCAUUGACGUUACCCGCAGAAGAAGCACCGGCUAACUCCGUGCCAGCAGCCGCGGUAAUACGGAGGGUGCAAGCGUUAAUCGGAAUUACUGGGCGUAAAGCGCACGCAGGCGGUUUGUUAAGUCAGAUGUGAAAUCCCCGGGCUCAACCUGGGAAAUGCAUCUGAUACUGGCAAGCUUGAGUCUCGUAGAGGGGGGUAGAAUUCCAGGUGUAGCGGUGAAAUGCGUAGAGAUCUGGGGGAAUACCGGUGGCGAAGGCGGCCCCCUGGACGAAGACUGACGCUCAGGUGCGAAAGCGUGGGGAGCAAACAGG